rnacentral:rRNA from 1 species
GUGGGGAAUAUUGCACAAUGGGCGAAAGCCUGAUGCAGCAACGCCGCGUGAGGGACGACGGCCUUCGGGUUGUAAACCUCUUUUAGUAGGGAAGAAGCGAAAGUGACGGUACCUGCAGAAAAAGCACCGGCUAACUACGUGCCAGCAGCCGCGGUAAUACGUAGGGUGCAAGCGUUAUCCGGAAUUAUUGGGCGUAAAGAGCUCGUAGGCGGUCUGUCGCGUCUGCUGGGAAAACUGGAGGCUCAACCUCCAGCCUGCAGUGGGUACGGGCAGACUAGAGGGCGGUAGGGGAGAUUGGAAUUCCUGGUGUAGCGGUGGAAUGCGCAGAUAUCAGGAGGAACACCGAUGGCGAAGGCAGAUCUCUGGGCCGUAACUGACGCUGAGGAGCGAAAGCGUGGGGAGCAAACAGGAUUAGAUACCCGUGUAGUCC